UAUCUAUCUAUCUAUCUAUCUAUGUUGAACACUGACAACAUGAUUAAUAUUCAUGAAGCUAGCAGCUCAUCAGUCAUUUGUGUGGUUCAUAUUGGUGUUAGUAGUAGAAUUUAUAGUGUUAUUGUCUUUUAAGUCUGGUGAGUAGACAAAAAAAUGACUAGCCAAUAAUGAUUUUACUGCCAAGGUGAUUUGUGUGUCUGUAACUUAUAUUUUCAGACUGGAAAAUUGAGAGUGAUGAACAGCAAGCAGCAUACCAGUUUUGAAGAAACUUAUUACAUGGAGCUGAAGACCGGACACCCCUUCAGGUCACAACAGAUCUAACCAGCAGUGUGCAAGACAGAGAUAGACAGUUUCUGUCAUUCUACGAGUCAAACCCAACUGACUGGGCAUCCCCACUAUCAAUCAACCUUAAAGCUUGAAGAGCCAAGGGAUCUGACAGACGUGGAACGAUAGAGAGUGAACGAUCUUGCUUUUAGCUGGGCCAACAUUAACUAGAGAAAACCGGAAGUGGCUUGCAGAAACCGUUCUUCAGCAUGCGGUAUUCAGUAUUGUGAUGUAUUUCUGUGUGAAACGGACUGUUGAACGAGAAAGCUUGUUUGCAGUCGCACGAUUCUGAUGAAAUCUGAAAUUCAGAUGAGUGCAGGAAGUGAAAAGCAGAACGGACGAGAUGAAGUAAAGUUCGUACUGCAGGGUCAUUUCAUGUCAAAUCAACCAAAUUUCAGAAACUUCCCUAGCUCAAACUUAGUGCUGGGCGGCAUGGGCGUCACUAGGCCCUUUUUAGGGAGGCUUCAGCCCCCCUAAAAAACUUGUGAUUGCCUCUGUAAUCUGUAACCUAAUUUGUGAUCACUUCUGACCCCUUUAAAACAAAUGAAAGGGUGGCAGGCUUCGGCUUUGCCCUCGCCCUGCCUCAGUCUGUGUUAAUUCCUUUUCAAACUGUUCUGAAGCAUACUUGUUGUUUAUGUUUAUUGACAGACGCUGCUAUAAGUCAAAUGGCCAUAAUUUAAGUGAUCACAAAAAUAAGAGUUCAGCCAUAUUACACAGCCUGCUGCUGAUAACUGCAUAAGGGGCCGUUCACAUAUCGCGUCUUUUGCUCGUGCAAAUUCCUUAUUUCAAAUGUAGGAGCACAUCAAGCGCACUCAUAAUAGGAGCGACGCGCAUACGGUGCGCUCGUUUUUUUCCAGGCGUGCCUAUGCCGUGACGAGAUGAAAACAUCUCAACUUUUCAGAAUGCCGCAAGCGCACCGCAGGUCAUGUGACAAGAACCAACCAAUCAGCUUCAGCCUUUCUGUAACAACACCGAAAGCUCAGCCGAGCAGCUGAUCAUAGCUGUACAGGGCGGGUUUUAUUUCUCAUCUCCAUAAAUAUAUCUAGUGUUAAAGCUAAUGCAAUGGCUAGAAAUCAAUGAAUCAAUUAAUCCUUUGCUGAUACUCCCUCAUCACGGUGGAGAGAGCAAUUCAUGGUUGCAUAGCAACGACAGACGCCGCGGGAGUGCAAGCGCUUGUAGAAAGGAGGAGAAAGCGGCGCGGCUGCGCUUUACACACGUUUUUAGACGUGAUAUGUGAACGGCCCCUAAGAGUGCACUGGCCACUGAUGAUGUCGUGGAGGCUAUGCUAGACACACAGUUAAUGAGGAAAGUUAACAUCCACGCUUUAGCCAUAAGUUUCGUCUGAAUUGUACAUGCUACUACUAUUUUUCUGUGAAAAUGACUUGUUGCACUUAUGGUAAGCAUGGUCGACAUCAACUCUAAUAGGCUACAAUGUAAUUAUGCUUUGGAAAAGCUGUUUUCCCCGUGGUUAGCUGAAGCUGUGUGUGAACAAGGCUGCAGAAUGUGAGUUGCUCCGUCUCACGCAGCCUCAGAGGAGAGAAAUUCUCUAGUAACGUACAGAAAUGGAGUUGAUAACGCCGGAGAUUAUCUAUACAGCGCAGGCUAGUAUAAUUUAGCCGCUGGGCUCCUUACCAGGUGUUUGCAAUUAAACAGAGAAUCACCUGCGUUUUGAGCUGUGGUGUCUGGUCCGCACGGAUCCCUAUACUACACAUCGCAAUUUCGAUGCUAUAAAUGAACUAUCGUGCAGCCCUAAUUCAAAUGUACAUGAUCAUAAAAUAUGAGAAUUACCCGUAUGAAGUCCAUUGACUUCAAUGGAUUUAAUUAAAUUCAUUUGAAACUUAUAACUCAUGACUGCUCAAAAGAGUCCAAAUUUAUGAAACAAAACACCUUAAUCAAAUCAGUUUAUAAAGCUAACAAUUUUUAUUUAAAAUGUAAUCAAAAGAAAAUGUAUUAAUAAGUGUUUUUACUGUGUGCAAUUUCUGUAACUUCAAUGGGCAUUAACAAAUAGCUCAAAUACCCUAGGGGGAUAACAUAAGCCACAAACAUGUGUAAAGUUUAUAAAUAUGUCCGUUCUUAAAAUCUGGUGUCUGAUUCUUUAGGUUAUCGGUCGCAGAGAGAAGCAGAUGAAGCAAAUCAAACGAGGUCUGAAGGAUACUGGGGUCCUGCUCAUGAUGAAAGAACGGCCUUCUCUCAUCACAGUGCUGUUCCCAAAAUCAUCCUUCCUGAACUAAUGGAUUGUUUAUGGCUCUGAAAACAUGCGAUCGUUAACCAGACUUCCCAUUUCCUAAAAACCUGAGCAUUUAUGCUGUUUUCUUUGUCCAUAGAUGGUUUAGAAAGAGUUAUAUGGCCAAUGAUGAAGAUGAAGAUGAGGAUGAUCACGAGGUUCCUCUGGAGUUGAAACGCCAGAUGGCGUCGUACCUCAGGAAGUACAUCGAAAAUGCUACAGCACUGGAUAUGGAGCAGGGUCGGGCAAUCCUCCCACAACAUCUCUAUGUGGAGGUGUCUGACUCCAUUAAAGUGAGAAAAUAAAGCUGCCUUCUCACGACACUCACUACAUGGACUUUCAGGCAGACUUAAAGCAGCAGUGUCCACAAGAGAACGUGGAUUUGGAUUAGUUUAAUCAUAUGGUGUGUUCCUGGGCUUUUUAAAUGAAGAGGCCAGUCCUCAACUGUUAGCCAGUGUGCUUUUGAUAGGACUGUUUAUUGAGAGAGAAAAAAUGUUAUUCAAAUGAAACUAAAUACUAGAUUUUAUAACUUCAUGUUCAUUUUUUCAUUUGUAGCAAGUUAAAUAAUGUGUAACUUAAAGUUGAAAUUUGAUGUAAAAAGUUAAAUGAGUAGUACUUUAAUAUUUGUACAAAUUUGUUCGUUUAAUCAAAUGUAAUGAACAGCCAGUGCAUCAGGAAAACAUGUAUUUGUUCAUCAAUAAACAAUCUGGAUUCAAGGA